rnacentral:rRNA from 1 species
UACGGAGGGUGCAAGCGUUAUCCGGAUUUACUGGGUUUAAAGGGUGCGUAGGUGGAUUUGUAAGUCAGUGGUGAAAUCUCCGAGCUUAACUCGGAAACUGCCAUUGAUACUAUAAAUCUUGAAUGCUCUGGAGGUAAGCGGAAUAUGUCAUGUAGCGGUGAAAUUCUUAGAUAUGACAUAGAACACCAAUUGCGAAGGCAGCUUACUGCGGAAGUAUUGACACUGAGGCACGAAAGCGUGGUGAUCAAACAGG